rnacentral:tRNA from 1 species
AGAAGAGUAAGCUAACUAAAGCUAUUGGGUCCAUACCCCAACAAUGAAGGGCUAAUCCUUCCUCUCCUA